rnacentral:rRNA from 1 species
AUACGUAGGGGGCGAGCGUUGUCCGGAUUUAUUGGGCGUAAAGGGUACGUAGGCGGCUAUGCAAGUCAGAUGUGAAAGAUCACGGCUUAACCGUGGUAAGCAUUUGAAACUGCGUAGCUUGAGUUAAGGAGAGGAAAGUGGAAUUCCUGGUGUAGCGGUGAAAUGCGUAGAUAUCAGGAGGAAUACCAGUGGCGAAGGCGACUUUCUGGACUUAUACUGACGCUGAGGUACGAAAGCGUGGGGAGCAAACAGGAUUAGAUACCCUGGUAGUCCACGCCGUAAACGAUGAGUGCUAGGUGUCGGGUGUCAAAGCUCGGUGCCGCAGUUAACACAUUAAGCACUCCGCCUGGGGAGUACGUUCGCAAGAAUGAA